GACCUACGGGAGGCAGCAGUCGGGAAUAUUGCGCAAUGGAGGAAACUCUGACGCAGUGACGCCGCGUAUAGGAAGAAGGAUUUCGGAUUGUAAACUAUUGUCCACAGGGAAGAUAAAAGACUGUACCUGUGAAGAAAACUCCGGCUAACUACGUGCCAGCAGGCGCGGUAAUACGUAGGGAGCAAACGUUAUCCGGAAUUAUUUGGUGUAAGGGGGGCGUAGACGGGAUAACAAGUUAGUUGUGGAACCCCUCGGCUCAACU
rnacentral:rRNA from 1 species